rnacentral:rRNA from 1 species
CCUACGGGAGGCAGCAGUAGGGAAUUUUCGUCAAUGGGCGCAAGCCUGAACGAGCAAUGCCGCGUGAACGAGGAAGGUCUUCGGAUCGUAAAGUUCUGUUGACGGGGAAAAAGAGCGGAGAGAGGAAAUGGUCUCCGAUUGAUAUUACCCUUCGAGGAAGUCCCGGCUAACUACGUGCCAGCAGCCGCGGUAAUACGUAGGUGGCGAGCGUUAUCCGGAAUGAUUGGGCGUAAAGGGUGCGUAGGCGGCCUGCUAAGUCUGGAGUGAAAGGUACCGGCUCAACCGGUACAGGCUCUGGAAACUGGCGGGCUAGAGAGCAGGAGAGGGCGGUGGAACUCCAUGUGUAGCGGUAAAAUGCGUAGAUAUAUGGAAGAACACCAGUGGCGAAGGCGGCCGCCUGGCCUGUGACUGACGCUGAGGCACGAAAGCGUGGGGAGCAAAUAGGAUUAGAUACCCGGGUAGUC